rnacentral:rRNA from 1 species
AGCGAACGCUAGCGGCGGGCUUAACACAUGCAAGUCGAGCGCCUUACUUCGGUAAGGAGCGGCGGACGGGUGAGUAACACGUAGGUUAUCUGCCCCGGGGUGAGGGACAACUGAGGGAAACUUCAGCUAAUACCACAUAUGGCCUACGGGUCAAAGGCUUCGGCCGCCCUGGGAUGAGCCUGCGUCCCAUUAUUUAAUCCUAGUUGGUGGGGUAAUGGCCUACCAAGGGUACGAUGGGUAGCUGGUUUGAGAGAAUGAUCAGCCACACUGGAACUGAGACACGGUCCAGACUCCUACGGGAGGCAGCAGUGGGGAAUUUUGGACAAUGGGCGCAAGCCUGAUCCAGCCAUGCCGCGUGAGUGAAGAAGGCCUCGGUUGUAAG